GGAUGGCGUCGGGCCGACAACAGGUUCCCGCAGAGGCUUCUCCGUGUGCCACUGACUCGUCACCGCCAGGUCAUGAGCCACAGCAGGCCGCGGAGCUCACAGCAGGAGCUGGCGUAUCCAUCCUCCAUCCGUCCUCUAAGCCGGCAGCCAGCCCAGCCACAGGGGACACGGGUUCGAUCCCUGGGCCGGGAAGACCCCACAUGCCGUGGAGCAACUAAGCACGUGCGCCACAACUACUGAGCCUGCGCUCUAGAGCCCGCGAGCCCCAACUGCUGAAGCCCGUGUGCCUAGAGCCCAUGCUCUGCAAGAGGAGAAGCCACCGCAAGGAGAAGUCCGUGCACCGUGACGAAGAGUAGCCCCUGCUCGCCGCAACUAGAGAAAGCCUGUGCAUAGCGACGAAGACCCAA